GUUGUGAAACUACUAUUUGCUUGGAAAACACUCUGAGAGCAGCCCGGGUGAAGGUGCCCGUGGCUCGGAUGACGCUGCUGUAUUCAGUCCAGGCCAGGGAGGGCCAGGCCAACUCGUCAUCCGGUGACCGCCUCAGCUGCCCGAGGGACAGGAGGGACGCCCGCCUCCGCUGUGUCGCCAGGCCCGGUGUCGCCAAGCCUGCUGGCUGUGCUGUGGUCCCAGAAUAUACCCACGAGCUCUUGGUCCUCUCUGUCUGCGCCCUACUCACAUCUCACAGGAAGAGGAAAUGGCAGCCAGAACUGGGAAGCAAGGGUCAAAAUCAGUGCACGAGGGCGAGGGUCGCUCAGGAGUGCACCCCGCCUACCCUUGACCCAGUGGAGGGGGUUCUGACACAGCGGCAGCUCAGAAGCCAGGAACAGAAAGCCUUUGAGUGGCCAAGUUGAUGCCAAGAUUCCACUGCCGAGAGCCCGUUUCCUGCACUCUGCACAUUCUUCCCCCGCCCCGUUCCCCCUUCCAGCACCUUCUUCCAGUGACCCUGCUCCACGCUGCCUCUGUGCAUGCAGCCCUAGUUUCUUUUUCCUUCUAGAACACAAGUCAUGCGACCAGAAGGAUUGCAGGCACUUCUGCUUUCUCUUUUAGGCCCCCAGGUCCUUAUAAGUCUUUCAUGG
rnacentral:lncRNA from 1 species